rnacentral:rRNA from 1 species
UACGUAGGUCCCGAGCGUUGUCCGGAUUUAUUGGGCGUAAAGCGAGCGCAGGUGGUUUAUUAAGUCUGGUGUAAAAGGCAGUAGCUCAACCAUUGUAUGCAUUGGAAACUGGUAGACUUGAGUGCAGGAGAGGAGAGUGGAAUUCCAUAUGUAGCGGUGAAAUGCGUAGAUAUAUGGAGGAACACCGGUGGCGAAAGCGGCUCUCUGGCCUGUAACUGACACUGAGGCUCGAAAGCGUGGGGAGCAAACAGG